GACGAACGCUGGCGGCGUGCUUAACACAUGCAAGUCGAACGGUGAAGCUCCAGCUUGCUGGAGUGGAUCAGUGGCGAACGGGUGAGUAACACGUGAGCAACCUGCCCCUGACUCUGGAAUAAGCGCUGGAAACGGCGUCUAAUACUGGAUACGAGAAGGGUCCGCAUGGGCACUUUCUGGAAAGUUUUUCGGUUGGGGAUGGGCUCGCGGCCUAUCAGCUUGUUGGUGAGGUAAUGGCUCACCAAGGCGACGACGGGUAGCCGGCCUGAGAGGGCGACCGGCCACACUGGGACUGAGACACGGCCGAGACUCCUACGGGGGGAAGCAGGGGGGAAUAUUGCACAAGGGGCGAAAGCCGGAUGCAGCGACGCCGCGUGGGGGAUGACGGCCUUCGGUUUGUAAACCUCUUUCAGCGGGGAAGAAGCGAAAGGGAGGGUCCCUGCAGAAGAAGCCCCGGCUAACUACGUG
rnacentral:rRNA from 1 species